GAUGAACGCUGGCGGCGUGCCUAAUACAUGCAAGUCGAGCGAACAGACGAGGAGCUUGCUCCUCUGACGUUAGCGGCGGACGGGUGAGUAACACGUGGAUAACCUACCUAUAAGACUGGGAUAACUUCGGGAAACCGGAGCUAAUACCGGAUAAUAUAUUGAACCGCAUGGUUCAAUAGUGAAAGACGGUUUUGCUGUCACUUAUAGAUGGAUCCGCGCCGCAUUAGCUAGUUGGUAAGGUAACGGCUUACCAAGGCAACGAUGCGUAGCCGACCUGAGAGGGUGAUAGGCCACACGGGAACUGAGACACGGUCCAGACUCCUAAGGGAGGCAGCAGUAGGGAAUCUUCCGCAAUGGGCGAAAGCCUGACGGAGCAACGCCGCGUGAGUGAUGAAGGUCUUCGGAGAGUAAAACUCUGUUAUUAGGGAAGAACAAAUGUGUAAGUAAAUAUGCACGUCUUGACGGUACCUAAUCAGAAAGCCACGGCUAACUACGUG
rnacentral:rRNA from 1 species